rnacentral:rRNA from 1 species
AAAUUGAAGAGUUUGAUCAUGGCUCAGAUUGAACGCUGGCGGCAGGCCUAACACAUGCAAGUCGAACGGUAACAGGAAACAGCUUGCUGUUUCGCUGACGAGUGGCGGACGGGUGAGUAAUGUCUGGGAAACUGCCCGAUGGAGGGGG